rnacentral:rRNA from 1 species
GAGAUGAGAUUUCCCAACUUCGGUUAUAAGAUCCCUCAAAGAUGAUGAGGUGAAUAGGUUCGAGGUGGAAGCGUAGCGAUACGUGGAGCUGACGAAUACUAAUCGAUCGAAGACUUAAUCAAU